rnacentral:rRNA from 1 species
GGGUGAGUAACGCGUAUGCAACCUACCUUUAACUGGGGAAUAGCCCAGGGAAACUUGGAUUAAUACCCCAUAAUAUCAGGCCUUCGCAUGUUGGCUUGAUUAAAGUUCCGGCGGUUAAAGAUGGGCAUGCGUGCCAUUAGAUAGUUGGUGAGGUAACGGCUCACCAAGUCUUCGAUGGCUACGGGGUCUUAAAGGAUGAUCCCGCACACUGGUACUGAGACACGGACCAGACUCCUACGGGAGGCAGCAGUGAGGAAUAUUGGUCAAUGGGGGCAACCCUGAACCAGCCAUGCCGCGUGCAGGAAGACGGCCCUAUGGGUUGUAAACUGCUUUU